CAGCUCGGUGCCCUCACAACACAUUUAAGGCUUCUAACUCUCCCCCGGAUCAAAUGCAGCCAGGAAGCGGCGAGAAACACUGGUCGCUCAGAUUAGAACCAUUUUCUGCACCUUCUAGCCCGAGCUGUCGCUGGAGGGAUGUUUUAAAAGAUAAAUAAGAAUCGGACAAGGCGUGUGCGUAUUUCCUCGCGGGGGGAAGGCAGUGAACACACCACGGGGCCUUGCUGAAGGGUCCGGCGCCUGACAUUUUUAUUAUUAUGGAUGUGCCCACGCGGAUGAGAUGAGAGGAGGGAAGAAGCAGGCCACCCGAGAGUUUUCUUCACGUCUCAUCAGGAAGAGAGGGAAAUAAAUUAUGCAGCUUUUUUUCUUUUUUGCAUGUAACCGCCAGUCGCUGUUAUUUUUCUGAACGAUAUUAAUGCUAAAUUUUUGUAAACAAAAAUAAUUUGCCUCGCAUUUAAUUAUGGGUGGACUUUUUACGGACUACUUUGCUUGGCGAAUGUGUAACAAUUCUUAUUACGGUUUUUUUUCUAAAUAAAAAAUAAAUAUGCA